rnacentral:rRNA from 1 species
AAAUUGAAGAGUUUGAUCAUGGCUCAGAUUGAACGCUGGCGGCAGGCCUAACACAUGCAAGUCGAGCGGUAGCACAGAGAGCUUGCUCUCGGGUGACGAGCGGCGGACGGGUGAGUAAUGUCUGGGAAACUGCCUGAUGGAGGGGGAUAACUACUGGAAACGGUAGCUAAUACCGCAUAACGUCGCAAGACCAAAGUGGGGGACCUUCGGGCCUCAUGCCAUCAGAUGUGCCCAGAUGGGAUUAGCUGGUAGGUGGGGUAACGGCUCACCUAGGCGACGAUCCCUAGCUGGUCUGAGAGGAUGACCAGCCACACUGGAACUGAGACACGGUCCAGACUCCUACGGGAGGCAGCAGUGGGGAAUAUUGCACAAUGGGCGCAAGCCUGAUGCAGCCAUGCCGCGUGUGUGAAGAAGGCCUUCGGGUUGUAAAGCACUUUCAGCGGGGAGGAAGGCGGUGAGGUUAAUAACCUCACCGAUUGACGUUACCCGCAGAAGAAGCACCGGCUAACUCCGUGCCAGCAGCCGCGGUAAUACGGAGGGUGCAAGCGUUAAUCGGAAUUACUGGGCGUAAAGCGCACGCAGGCGGUCUGUCAAGUCGGAUGUGAAAUCCCCGGGCUCAACCUGGGAACUGCAUUCGAAACUGGCAGGCUAGAGUCUUGUAGAGGGGGGUAGAAUUCCAGGUGUAGCGGUGAAAUGCGUAGAGAUCUGGAGGAAUACCGGUGGCGAAGGCGGCCCCCUGGACAAAGACUGACGCUCAGGUGCGAAAGCGUGGGGAGCAAACAGGAUUAGAUACCCUGGUAGUCCACGCUGUAAACGAUGUCGAUUUGGAGGUUGUGCCCUUGAGGCGUGGCUUCCGGAGCUAACGCGUUAAAUCGACCGCCUGGGGAGUACGGCCGCAAGGUUAAAACUCAAAUGAAUUGACGGGGGCCCGCACAAGCGGUGGAGCAUGUGGUUUAAUUCGAUGCAACGCGAAGAACCUUACCUGGUCUUGACAUCCACAGAACUUUCCAGAGAUGGAUUGGUGCCUUCGGGAACUGUGAGACAGGUGCUGCAUGGCUGUCGUCAGCUCGUGUUGUGAAAUGUUGGGUUAAGUCCCGCAACGAGCGCAACCCUUAUCCUUUGUUGCCAGCGGUUCGGCCGGGAACUCAAAGGAGACUGCCAGUGAUAAACUGGAGGAAGGUGGGGAUGACGUCAAGUCAUCAUGGCCCUUACGACCAGGGCUACACACGUGCUACAAUGGCAUAUACAAAGAGAAGCGACCUCGCGAGAGCAAGCGGACCUCAUAAAGUAUGUCGUAGUCCGGAUUGGAGUCUGCAACUCGACUCCAUGAAGUCGGAAUCGCUAGUAAUCGUAGAUCAGAAUGCUACGGUGAAUACGUUCCCGGGCCUUGUACACACCGCCCGUCACACCAUGGGAGUGGGUUGCAAAAGAAGUAGGUAGCUUAACCUUCGGGAGGGCGCUUACCACUUUGUGAUUCAUGACUGGGGUGAAGUCGUAACAAGGUAACCGUAGGGGAACCUGCGGUUGGAUCACCUCCUUA